rnacentral:rRNA from 1 species
UACGGAGGAUCCAAGCGUUAUCCGGAAUCAUUGGGUUUAAAGGGUCCGUAGGCGGAUCUGUAAGUCAGUGGUGAAAUCUCACAGCUUAACUGUGAAACUGCCAUUGAUACUGCAGGUCUUGAGUGUUAUUGAAGUAGCUGGAAUAAGUAGUGUAGCGGUGAAAUGCAUAGAUAUUACUUAGAACACCAAUUGCGAAGGCAGGUUACUAAGCAACAACUGACGCUGAUGGACGAAAGCGUGGGGAGCGAACAGG